GACGAACGCUGGCGGCGUGCUUAACACAUGCAAGUCACGGGGGCCCGCAAGGGUAACCUGCGAACGCGUGCGUAACACGUGAGCAAUCUGCCGUCCACUGGGGGAUCUCCUUCCCAACGGCCGGGUACUACCGCAUACUCUUGCCGGUUGCCAUCACUUGGCAAGGAAACCUCCGGGGGUGUACGAGGAUCUCGCGGCCUAUCAGCUCGUUGUUGGGGUCACGGCCCGACAAGGCGAUGACGGGUCGCUGGGCUGAGAGGAUGGACAGCAACAUUGGGACUGAGAAACGGCCCAGACGACGACGGGGGGGAGAAGUGGGGAAUAUUGCGGAAUGGCUGAAAGGCUGACGCAGCGACGGUGCGUGAGGGAUGAAGCAUUUCGAGGUGUAAAGCCGGGUUGGAAGAGAAGAAGCUUCAUUUUCGAGGGGACUGACGGUACCGGGUGAGGAAGCACCGGCUAACUUCGUG
rnacentral:rRNA from 1 species